AACGCACAUUGCGCCCGCCAGUAUUCUGGCGGGCAUGCCUGUUCGAGCGUCAUUUCAACCAUCAAGCCCUAGGCUUGUGUUGGGGCCCUGCGGCCGCCCGCAGCCCCCUAAAUCCAGUGGCGGUCUCGCUAUCAUACCGAGCGCAGUAGCGUAAUCUCCUCGCUCUGGGCAUGGUGGCGGACACCCUGCCAUAAAACGCACCCAUAUUCAAGGUUGACCUCGGAUCAGGUAGGAAUACCCGCUGAACUUAA
rnacentral:misc_RNA from 1 species